AUUGAACGCUGGCGGCAGGCUUAACACCUGCAAGUCGAACGAGAGGCGGACGGGUGAGUAAUGCUUGGGAAUCUAGCGUAUGGAGGGGGAUAACUACGGGAAACUGUAGCUAAUACCGCGUACGAGAGGAUGAGCCCAAGUGGGCUUAGGUAGUUGGUGAGGUAAAGGCUCACCAAGCCGACGAUUUCUACCUGGUCUGAGAGGAUGACCAGCCACACUGUGACUGAGCCACGGCCCAGACUCCUACGGGAGGCAGCAGUGGGGAAUCUUGCGGAAUGGGCGAAACCUGACGCAGCCAUGCCGCGUGUAUGAAGAAGGCCUUCGGGUUGUAGAGUUCUUUCGGUAGCGAGGGGUUAGCUACAGAAGAAGCACCGGCUAACUCCGUGCCAGCAGCCGCGGUAAUAC
rnacentral:rRNA from 1 species